rnacentral:rRNA from 1 species
UAAGGAAUAUUGGUCAAUGGGCGCAAGCCUGAACCAGCCAUGCCGCGUGCAGGAAGACGGCCCUACGGGUUGUAAACUGCUUUUAUACGGGAAUAAACCCCGGUACGUGUACCGGGCUGAAUGUACUGUAAGAAUAAGGAUCGGCUAACUCCGUGCCAGCAGCCGCGGUAAUACGGAGGAUCCAAGCGUUAUCCGGAUUUAUUGGGUUUAAAGGGUGCGUAGGUGGCCUGGUAAGUCAGGGGUGAAAGACGGUAGCUUAACUAUCGCAGUGCCUUUGAUACUGCCGGGCUUGAAUAAACUAGAGGUAGGCGGAAUGUGACAAGUAGCGGUGAAAUGCAUAGAUAUGUCACAGAACACCGAUUGCGAAGGCAGCUUACUAUGGUUUUAUUGACACUGAGGCACGAAAGCGUGGGGAUCAAACAG